UACGUAGGGUGCGAGCGUUGUCCGGAAUUAUUGGGCGUAAAGAGCUCGUAGGCGGUGUGUCACGUCGUUCGUGAAAACCUGCAGCUUAACUGUGGGCGUGCGGUCGAUACGGGCAUCACUGGAGUUCGGCAGGGGAGACUGGAAUUCCUGGUGUAGCAGUGAAAUGCGUAGAUAUCAGGAGGAAUACCGAUGGCGAAGGCAGGUCUCUGGGCUGACACUGACGCUCAUGCACGAAAGCGUGGGGAGCAAACAGG
rnacentral:rRNA from 1 species